UCCGUGCCAGCAGCCGCGGUAAUACGGAGGGUGCGAGCGUUAAUCGGAAUUACUGGGCGUAAAAGCGCAUGCAGGUGGUUUGUUAAGUCAGAUGUGAAAAGCCCGGGCUCAAACCUCGGAAAUUGCAUUUUGAAAACUGGCAGACUAGAGUCUUGUAGAGGGGGUAGAAAUUUCAGGUGUAGCGGUGAAAAUGCGUAGAGAUCUGAAGGAAUACCAGUGGCGAAGGCGGCCCCUGGACAAAGACUGACGCUCAGAUGCGAAAGCGUGGGGAGCAAACAGGAUUAGAUACCCCUGGUAG
rnacentral:rRNA from 1 species